ensembl:rRNA 5S_rRNA 5S ribosomal RNA
GUUUACGGCCAUACCACCCUGAACACGCCCGAUCUCGUCUGAUCUCGGAAGCUAAGCAGGGUCGGGCCUGGUCAGUACUUGGAUGGGAGACCGCCUGGGAAUACCAGGUGCUGUAAGCU